rnacentral:lncRNA from 1 species
UUUUCUUUUGAGCUUAUUUUUGCCUCUUCUUCCUGUUCAUGGAUCCCAAGGCCUCAAACUCAAAGAACCCACAUGAACUACCUAACUUCUUGACCCACCCUCCUCCUAAAACCCUUCAACAACACCAUCAGCCACAGCCACAGCCACAGCCACAGCAGGCAGCCAUGGGAGAGAACAAACCAGCAGAAAUUAAAGAUUUCCAGAUUGUAAUUGCAGACAAAGAAGAGCAAAAGAAGCAGUUAGCACCAAAAAGAAGCUCAAAUAAAGACAGACAUACCAAGGUUGAAGGUAGAGGAAGAAGGAUAAGGAUGCCAGCUCUUUGUGCAGCAAGAAUCUUUCAAUUGACCAGGGAACUGGGUCAUAAAUCUGAUGGAGAAACAAUACAGUGGCUGUUACAACAAGCAGAACCAUCGAUAAUUGCAGCAAC